AUACGAAGGGUGCAAGCGUUACUCGGAAUUACUGGGCGUAAAGCGUGCGUAGGUGGUUGUUUAAGUCUGUCGUGAAAGCCCUGGGCUCAACCUGGGAAUGGCGAUGGAAACUGGGCGACUAGAGUGUGGCAGAGGGUAGUGGAAUUCCUGGUGUAGCAGUGAAAUGCGUAGAGAUCAGGAGGAACAUCCGUGGCGAAGGCGACUGCCUGGGCCAACACUGACACUGUGGCACGAAAGCGUGGGGAGCAAACAGGAUUAGAUACCCUGGUAGUCCACGCCCUAAACGAUGCGAACUGGAUGUUGGGUGCAAUUUGGCACGCAGUAUCGAAGCUAACGCGUUAAGUUCGCCGCCUGGGGAGUACGGUCGCAAGACUGAAACUCAAAUGAAUUGACGGGG
rnacentral:rRNA from 1 species